UAAGCAGCCUGCGAGGCAGGAAUUAGUACCACCACUUCGUAAAUGAGGACACUGUGUCUCAGAGAGUUUCAACAACUCACUCAAGGUCACACAGCUAGUUGGUGGUAGCGCAAGGAUUCCAACCCAGCCUUGCCCGAUGAGAAGGGCAGUUUUGCUCUGCCUGCUGGUGCCUGCUGAGGUGACAGAGUUUUCUUUCAGCCACUGCGGAGAGGGGAGAAGCCAGAAGGUGAAGAGACAGAGAUUCACCACAACCUCUGCUGUUCUUAAAUUGCCUUGAAGCCAAAGAGAAGGUUUGCAGAUGGCUCUUCCAUGGGCUCUAAGGGAAGCUCGCAGGGAUUCUUUCCAGCUGAAUGAAUUGUCUCAACAUAUAUUUCCUCAUUUAAUCCUUUUGAUGACCCUAUGAGGUAAUAUCAGUGUGUCAGCCAAGAAUGAAAUCAGCUACAAGUAAUGGAAAUCUUAAGCAAUGCUGGUUUAUUAUUUUAAAAUAAAAGGGAGCUAUAUAGCAGCUCAAUGCUGCCAACAGGACCUAUGAACCCUGCAACUCACUGCCUGGGUUCAUACAAGUUUCAUCCUCUAGCAAUGGGGAUAAUAACAUGCUCAGCUAAUACUACUGAUGGAGUAAGUUAAUACUCUUAAUGUGUGAGAAUCA